GUCUACGGUCAUACCACCCUGAAGGUGCCCAAUUUUGUCUCAUCUUGGAAGACAAUCAGGGUCAGAGCUGGUUAGCACUUGGAUAGGAGAAAUAUAGCCAUUUAACACU
rnacentral:rRNA from 1 species